GACGAACGCUGGCGGCGUGCCUAAUACAUGCAAGUCGAGCGAAUCUGAUGGGAGCUUGCUCCUUGAUGAUUAGCGGCGGACGGGUGAGUAACACGUGGGUAACCUGCCUGUAAGACUGGGAUAACUCCGGGAAACCGGGGAUAAUACCGGAUAACUUUUUUCUUCGCAUGAGGGAGAAUUGAAAGAUGGCUUCGGCUAUCACUUACAGAUGGACCCGCGGCGCAUUAGCUAGUUGGUGAGGUAACGGCUCACCAAGGCGACGAUGCGUAGCCGACUUGCGAGGGUGAUCGGCCCCACUGGGAAGGGGACACGGCCCAGACUCCUACGGGAGGGAGCAGGAGGGAAUCUUCCGCAAGGGACGAAAGGCUGGCGGAGCAACGCCGCGGGAGUGAUGAAGGUUUUCGGGUCGGAAAACUCUGUUGUUAGGGAAGAAAAAGCAUCGUUCGAAUAGGGCGGUACCUUGACGGUACCUAACCAGAAAGCCACGGCUAACUACGUG
rnacentral:rRNA from 1 species